rnacentral:rRNA from 1 species
ACUCCUACGGGAGGCAGCAGUAGGGAAUCUUCCACAAUGGGCGAAAGCCUGAUGGAGCAACGCCGCGUGGGUGAAGAAGGUCUUCGGAUCGUAAAACCCUGUUGUUAGAGAAGAAAGUGCGUGAGAGUAACUGUUCACGUUUCGACGGUAUCUAACCAGAAAGCCACGGCUAACUACGUGCCAGCAGCCGCGGUAAUACGUAGGUGGCAAGCGUUAUCCGGAUUUAUUGGGCGUAAAGGGAACGCAGGCGGUCUUUUAAGUCUGAUGUGAAAGCCUUCGGCUUAACCGGAGUAGUGCAUUGGAAACUGGGAGACUUGAGUGCAGAAGAGGAGAGUGGAACUCCAUGUGUAGCGGUGAAAUGCGUAGAUAUAUGGAAGAACACCAGUGGCGAAAGCGGCUCUCUGGUCUGUAACUGACGCUGAGGUUCGAAAGCGUGGGUAGCAAACAGGAUUAGAUACGCUGGUAGGAUAGCG